rnacentral:rRNA from 1 species
UACGUAGGGGGCAAGCGUUGUCCGGAUUUAUUGGGCGUAAAGAGCGUGUAGGCGGCCAGAUAGGUCAGCUGUGAAAACUCGAGGCUCAACCUCGAGAUGUCGGCUGAAACCAUCUGGCUAGAGUCCGGAAGAGGAGAAUGGAAUUCCCGGUGUAGCGGUGAAAUGCGCAGAUAUCGAGAGGAACACCUGCGGCGAAGGCGGGUUGCUGGGCUGACACUGACGCUGAGGCGCGAAAGCCAGGGGAGCGAACGGG